rnacentral:rRNA from 1 species
CGGGGUGCACCAGGCGCGAAAACUCUGCAAUAGGCGAAAGCUUGACAGGGUUACUCUGAGUGAUGCCCGCUAAGGGCAUCUUUUGGUACCUCUAAAAAUGGUGCAGAAUAAGGGGUGGGCAAGUCUGGUGUCAGCCGCCGCGGUAAUACCAGCACCCCGAGUGGUCGGGACGAUUAUUGGGCCUAAAGCAUCCGUAGCUUGUCCUGCAAGUCUUCCGUUAAAUCCACCUGCUCAACAGAUGGGCUGCGGGAGAUACUACAGGGCUAGGAGGCGGGAGAGGCAAGCGGUACUCAGUGGGUAGGGGUAAAAUCCUCUGAUCCACUGAAGACCACCAGUGGCGAAGGCGGCUUGCCAGAACGCGCUCGACGGUGAGGGAUGAAAGCUGGGGGAGCAAACCGGAUUAGAUACCCGGGUAGUCCCAGCUGUAAACGAUGCAGACUCGGUGAUGGGUUGGCUUCGGGCCGACCCAGUGCCGCAGGGAAGCCGUUAAGUCUGCCGCCUGGGGAGUACGGUCGCAAGACUGAAACUUAAAGGAAUUGGCGGGGGAGCAC